rnacentral:rRNA from 1 species
UCGAGGAUCUUUCGCAAUGGGCGCAAGCCCGACGAAGCGACGCCGUGUGAGCGAUGAAGGCCUUCGGGUUGUAAAGCUCUUUCGCAUGGGAACAAGGAGGGGGUGUGAAUAAUGCCCCUCUUUUGAGGGUACCGUGUAAAGAAGCACCGGCUAACUCCGUGCCAGCAGCUGCGGUAAUACGGAGGGUGCAAGCAUUAAUCGGAAUUAUUGGGCGUAAAGGGCGCGUAGGCGGAUGGGAAAGUCAAAUGUGAAAUUCCGGGGCUCAACUCCGGAGCUGCAUGUGAUACUUCCUGUCUUGAGGAAUGGCGGAGAAAAUGGAAUUCCACAUGUAGCGGUGAAAUGCGUAGAUAUGUGGAGGAACACCGGUGGCGAAAGCGGUUUUCUAGCUAUUUCCUGACGCUGAGGCGCGAGAGCAAGGGGAGCAAACA